rnacentral:rRNA from 1 species
GAUAAACGCUGGCGGCGCACCUAAGACAUGCAAGUUGAACGGACUUACUCGAAAUAUUUCUAUUUUGAAGCGGUUAGUGGCGGACUGGUGAGUAACGCGUAAGGAACCUGCCUAUUAGAGGGGAAUAACAGUGAGAAAUCAUUGCUAAUACCGCAUAUGCCAUAGAUAUCACAUGAUAACAGUGGGAAAGGAGCAAUCCGCUAAUAGAUGGCCUUGCGUCUGAUUAGAUAGUUGGUGGGGUAACGCCCUACCAAGUCGACGAUCAGUAGCCGGACUGAGAGGUUGGACGGCCACAUUGGGAGUGAGAUACGGCCCAGACUCCUACGGGAGGCAGCAGUCGGGAAUAGUGCGCAAUGGAGGAAACUCUGAAGCAGUGACGCCGCGUAUAGGAAGAAGGUUUUCGGAUUGUAAACUAUUGUCGUUAGGGAAGAGAAAGGACAGUACCUAAGGAGGAAGCUCCGGCUAACUACGUG